AAAAAAACCCUUUGACUAAGGAGUCCCAAAUGGCUACCAUUUCAUAUUUUCUUGUAUUCAUCAUGUUGAUCCAGGGAACAAUAAUUUUCUCAAAUAGCAUUCCCAUGGUUGAAGCCUCCCGAGGUUUAGCUUAUCUUGAGAACCUUACUCCUCCUCCUCCUCCUCCUCCUCCUCUUUCUCCUCCUCCUUCAUCCAACUCUUCUCAACCUACAAGGACUUUACCAUCAGCACCACCGAGCCCCACAGCCAACAGUCCAAGCAUAGAUAGUAAGCCAAUUGAUCCUCACUAGCAUCGUCGAUUAUCACUUCUGAAAUAACAUGCAUACGUAUAUUUGUAUACCUCAUGAUUAAUUUAUUAUGAGCAUAAUAUCUAGGAUACUUUCCUUUCUCGUGCAAGGUUUACGUUUCUUUUCUUUUCUUUUUAAUUUUUGAAAGAAUUAAGUUAAGCAUGUACCAGAAAAGUCUCUCAACAUCUCAUAUGUAUGUUCUUAUGCUUUUGGACUUUGGG
rnacentral:lncRNA from 1 species